AAGAGGCCAAAGUCCUGUUCCUCAGAGACGUCCAGUACCAAACGAACGUUGUCACCAUCUGCAGACACAUUGAGCCAGGGCAGGGCUAGUGGGAGCAGAGAGAGGAGACUCCCUUCACCUUUUCUGCACAACCAAGCCUGAGCCACAAGCCCAGAGCCAAGCCCACAGAAGCUCCAGCUUGCGUCUUGGGACAACUCUUCUUCCUCUGCAGCCAGUGGAGUCCUGCUACCUCCUCAGUGCCAAUUACUUUCCCUAGACUCUGCUUAUGACCCACACAGUAAUACCAGUGAAAGCUGGACUCCUUGCAGAGGCUUGCAAGGCCUUAACCAGCCUAGUUUCUCUAACCUCUGUUAGUACCCAUAUCUUGAAUACUUUGCUGCAAAUAUACAAGGCUCCUUCAUAUUCCUUAAGCGCACUUGAGACCUUGAUCCUGCCCCAGGGCCUUGCUGCACUCUUCCUAUGGAACUCUCGUCUCCUCCUUCACGUCCCUCACUACAGUGAGGCUAUCUCACUACUGCAGCUCUCAAUGGCCCCAUCCCUCCUCUUGAGUUUUCUCCAUAAUUCUAGUCACCAUCUACUGUAUACUUUUUUUUUUUUUUUUUUGGUUUUUCGAGACAGGGUUUCUCUAUGGCUUUGGAGGCUGUCCUGGAACUCACUUGGUAGUCCAGGCUGGUCUCGAACUCACAGAGAUCCGCCUGCCUCUGCCUCCCGAGUGCUGGGAUUAAAGGUGUGCGCCACCAACACCCGGCUUAUACUGUAUACUUUACAUCUACACAGGUUUAUUGGAUCUUCCCUCAACCCCCUAAGCCUAAGCCUAGCCCUAACCAUAACCCUAAAUCCUAGCUCCUUAUCAUGUUUGUUUAUUAAUUUACUUCCCGGCUGUACCUGUAUCUGGUACAGAGUAAUUACUCAGCCAAUAUUUGUUGAAUAAAGAAAGCAAUCACCACUGAGUGACAAGA